UACGUAGGUGGCAAGCGUUAUCCGGAAUUAUUGGGCGUAAAGAGCGCGCAGGUGGUUAAUUAAGUCUGAUGUGAAAGCCCACGGCUUAACCGUGGAGGGUCAUUGGAAACUGGUUGACUUGAGUGCAGAAGAGGGAAGUGGAAUUCCAUGUGUAGCGGUGAAAUGCUUAGAUAUUGCGCAGAACUCCGAUUGCGAAGGCAGCAUACCGGCGGCGAUCUGACGCUGAGGCACGAAAGCGUGGGUAUCGAACAGG
rnacentral:rRNA from 1 species